CGUCUCUAAAAUGUUUCAAUAGAAAAAGUGGGGUUAUUAAUGGAAGACUAUUUAUCAGCUGGUUGUUAUACGGUUAAUUUCUAGUACUGGGCAUAAAAGAGAGCAUGUCGAGAUGCGGCGCGUGGUGCAACAUCGAAUAAUACGCAUAAUGCAUGCCAUCACUCGUUAGUAUUGUGUAUUCGCAAUUGAAGUAUCGUAUCUUCGUUCUUCGUCGCGUGUUAUAUGAUAUACGAUGAAAUAACAAUGUACAACAUCAAGAACAAAUAUAACUAAAGUUUGCAUGAUGGAGAACAUUCAUGAAAAAGCAUGGUUAAUUCGUUAAAACUACUCUGAUGGAACUUUGGAUGGAUGAAACUACUCUUGGAACCGCGCUGCCAAGUGCAUUUCCGUCGGAGCGCACGUGGAUAUAUCGACGAGGACAACGACGAUGGUCAGUUUGUAGACGGCCGUCGCAGAAUAAAAUCGGUAAGGAACCAGUUCGCCUUUCCUUUCCCUGCUUCCUCUUGCAAAUUUUAAUUAGUGCGCUCAAAGAUAUAAAUCAUUCGUUUCGUGUAUUACUAACAACUA